rnacentral:rRNA from 1 species
UACGGAGGGGGCAAGCGUUGUUCGGAUUUAUUGGGCGUAAAGCGCGUGUAGGCGGUACGGUAAGUCGGAUGUUAAAGACCCACGGCUCACCCGGGGGAGUGCGUUCGAUACUGCCGUGCUAGAGUGCAGGAGAGGAAAGUGGAAUUCCUGGUGUAGCGGUGAAAUGCGUAGAUAUCAGGAGGAACACCGGUGGCGAAGGCGGCUUUCUGGCCUGUAACUGACGCUGAGACGCGAAAGCAUGGGGA